CGUUCCCGGGCCUUGUACACACUGCCCGUCAAGCCAUGGAAGCUGGGGGUGCCUGAAGUCGGUGACCGCAAGGAGCUGCCUAGGGUAAAACUAGUAACUAGGGCU
rnacentral:rRNA from 1 species